ensembl:lncRNA
AUGCUACAGAAGGAGGUUGUCAUGGAUGCAGCAGACACAUGGGUCAGGUCAUACCGCUUCCCAGCUGAGCUUCAUGAAGGGGAAAACAUCACCUGCCUGUUUGACCACCCCAAGUUCCCACACGGAGAGCUUCGGACCGUCACUUUGCCGGCAUUCUCUCUGUCUGCUGUUCGGCUGCAGAACCCAGGGUUGGCAGACAGCAGCAACAAGAGCCAGGCUGUAGAGUCAGUGGUUCUGGAGGAAGGACAGAGCAAAACCACCAUCGGGCUAGAGGUCAUUGGGGAUGUACCACGUUACAGUAUAGUAUGCACCAAAGAAGAGCAGUCUCUCCCUGAGGGUGUGGCAGUAUUUGGCAGUGCUCUAACCCUGCAGGGUCCUGUCGAGCUCUACCAUGCAGGGCUGUAUGAGUGUGAGGCCUCCUACUACAGCCACAGGGCAUCUGUACUGCUGGACAUUACCGUUAACCCACAUGUCAAGCAGCCUGUGACUGUUCCUCCCAGCAUAAGGAUUGAUGUCCAGGAUAGACUGGGUGACAGAUUCAUUGAGUGCCUGGCUGCAGACUCCGUCCCUGUUGCCAAUGUGUCCUGGGUUCUACCUGAGGGUGUGUCUGGGCCCUCCUGGUCCAGUCUCACAUCCCAUAAUGGAACCUAUUCUGUCAGCAGUGUGUUAGUGCUGCCUGCCUGCUCAGCCCAGGAGCUCAAUAUGGAGUGUGUGAUAGAUCAUACUGUGUUUGUGUUGCCAGAGAGAAGACAGAUAACACUCCCUGUGUGUGCUCCUCCUAACAUCACCAUCCAAUCCAGCUCUGAGUGGGAGGAAGAUGUAGCAUACACACUGGUGCAGUGCACUGUGGACAAUGUUGGACCUGCUGCCACCAUCUCCUGGAGUCUUGGAGACUGGGACAGUGACAAUAGUACCAGUCAGCUCAUGGAGGUGCAGGAGCAGCAGGUUCACAGGCAGCCUGAGCUCCAUGCCAAUGGCUCUGUGACGGUCCGUAGUGUGUUGAGGUUCCCCACUUCCAUGUUCUCUGGUCAGAAUGUCACCUGUGUGGUGGAUCACCUGGGUCUUGAGAAGCCAGAGAGAACAGGGAUACUGCUGCGUGGACUGGAGUCCCCUGUGAUGCGUGUUUUUGUUGGGAGGCAGAGGGGAUCUCCUCUGUGGCUGGCUGUAUGUGAGUACAGAGGGGACAGGCUCGGAGCACACCUCUCUUGGGUUCUACCUGACAACGCCACAGGCCACAUCUCCUUCCGCUCUGGGUAUGAAGGAGUGAGAGUGCUAACCAACCUCACCUAUGAGUUUUCACUGGCCCUCCACGAGGGACAGGACCUGAUCUGUCUCAUUCAAAAUCACCAUGGACUAAAGGAGAGGAGGACAGUCCAUGUCCCCAAAUACUACAUCUCAUCUGUCAGAGUACUCAAUCAAACUACUCCCCUGUACAAACCUUAUGGAGACGAGUCCGUUAUACAUCGAAUGUCCCUAAAGGAGAAUUUCCACAACCAGAGGAUCCUGCUCAAAGUCUAUGGCAGUGUGCCAACUUAUAGCCUUACCUGUCAGAGAAAUGAUGGCACAUUGGUCCAGAUGGAUGGUCGGGCUCUGUUGUUCCAUUCAGAGGUCACGGAGCGGGAGGCGGGCCUCUACACCUGCCAAGCCUCUUUCUACCACCAUCAGGCCUCGGUCCUCAUUCAAGUGGAGGUCACCAGUGAAGAUAAACAGCUCAUGAUUGUCUUCAUCGUCUGUUUCUCCUCGGCUGCAGCCAUCACGAUCCUCCUCAUCGUCACUCUGUGUGUUUUCUGCAAAAGAAAUGAAGGAGACCGCCUAGCAUCUAAGAAGCGGGAGUCGCUGGCACCCUUGACCUCUCUGACCCAGGAACUGUGCUCUCCAGAGCUGAAGAAGGGAAAGACAGCAGUGACAGUACCAGGAGGACGAGGCCAGGAGUACAACCAGCUGCUCAGCUACUCUAUUGUCAUUGAUGCCAGAUCCACUGUGUAA